UUGCAGUUCCUGUUUUAUGCAAAGUGAACUUCCUCACAGUCGGUCACACCGUAAAUACUCGUUCUGCUGCUGUCACCUGAUCAGAUCAGCUUCAACAUCAACAUGUUGCGUGUCGCUGUGCUGCUGCUGGCCGCUGGAUCCUGUGUGAAGUGUGAACAGCUGACGCAGCCGACCUCUGUGACUGUGCAGCCAGGUCACCGUCUGUCCAUCACCUGUCAGGUGUCUUAUUCUGUCUCCAGCUACUGGACAGCUUGGAUCAGACAGCCUGCAGGGAAAGGACUGGAGUGGAUUGGACAGAAAUAUACAGGAGGCACACACAUAAAAGAUUCCCUGAAAAACAAGUUCAGUUUGGAUCUGGACUCAUCCAGAAACACAGCGACUCUAAACGGAGACAAUAUGCAGCCUGAAGACACUGCUGUGUAUUACUGUGCCAGAGACACACAUUCUAUUGCAACGUACUGGGCUUUUGACUAUUGGGGAAAAGGAACAAUGGUAACGGUGACAUCAGCGACACCAAGUGGGCCGACAGUGUUUCCUCUGAAGUCAUGUACUUCUGGCUCUGGAGACGUGACUCUGGCCUGCCUGGCCACCAACUUCACACCCUCCACUGUGACAUUCUCAUGGAACAAAAAUGGAGCUGCCAUGACUGACUUCAUUCAGUAUCCUCCAGUGCAGAAAGGCAGCGUUUACAUGGGAGUCAGUCAAAUCAGAGUAACUCGAGACGAAUGGGAAGCAAGUAAAAAUAUUCAGUGUUCUGUGACACAUGCAGCUGGAAACAGUCAAGCUGUCUUUACACGUACCGUGGUGAUCUACAAAGAACCAACUCUGAAGGUUUUGGCUUCCUGUGAGGACGACAGCGAGCCUUCUUUCUCCUGCAUUGCCAAAGAUUUUUCGCCAAACUUUUUUCAGUUCAAGUGGCUCAAAAAUGAAGAGGAAGUCAGCAACCCGAAAUAUGAAAUGCAAACAGCUUCUUCCACAAGACAAGAUGAGAAUGGAACGACUGUGUACACUGCAGCGAGUUUUCUUACAGUCCAGCCCAGUGACUGGACGAGCGACACAACGUACACAUGUGUGUUUACAGGCAAAAACAACACUGAAUACAAAAACUCCACUGGAAUUGUGAAAUAUGCAAGUUCAAGUGGAAAAGACGGUCAUUGCAGUGAAGCAGCUGUGGAAAUAAAAAUUACAGAACCCUCAAUCGAGGAGCUAUUUUUAUAUAAAAAAGCACAAGUAAUCUGCCAAGUCGUGCAAAAUCAACCUGAUGUUGAGAAAAUUUACUGGGAGGAUGAGAACGGACAAGAAAUGGCUGAUGCCUCAAUCGUUCCAAAGAAAGGAAAUAAAGGACCGUUCAGCCUUCCGCUCGACAUCCUGUAUGACGAGUGGAGCAAAGGGAUAAAACGCAACUGUGUUGUUGAGCAUUCAGAUUUGUAUGACACAAUGAAGAAAUCCUAUGAAAGAAAGAUCGGUGGAGCGAUUAAACGUCCGCUGGCGUUUCUGCUGCCUCCAGUAGAGCAACCGAGAAAUAAUCUGGUGACCCUGACUUGCUUUGUGAAAGACUUCUUUCCCAAAGAGGUGGCUGUGUCUUGGCUUGUCGAUGACGAACCUGCAGAUCCAAAAACAUACGGGUUCAAUACCACAAACCCUGUCGAAAAUGACGGCUUCUAUUCUAUCUACAGCCAGUUUUCGUUCCAACUGGACCAGUGGAAAAACGACAUGGUGUAUAGCUGUGUGGUUUACCACGAGUCUGUGCUCAACACAACUAAGGUCAUUGUCAGGUCCACGGGGCAGAAAUCAUUUGACAAAUCCAACGUGGUCAACCUCAACAUGAACGUCCCUGAUAACUGCCAGGCCCAGUAGAUGUCAUGUUGUGUCUCUGUGUCUUCUGCUGCGUUUUGUUGAAUGUUUGUUGCUUGUGAUAUGAUGGUCUGUUUCUUUUUAAUGCACAUUUAAAAUAAAAUAAUCUAUUUGCAG